rnacentral:rRNA from 1 species
GACAGAGGGUGCAAACGUUGUUCGGAAUUACUGGGCGUAAAGCGCGUGUAGGCGGCCAUCUAAGUCGGGCGUGAAAUCCCACGGCUCAACCGUGGAGGUGCACUCGAAACUGGAUGGCUAGAGUCCUGGAGAGGAAGGUGGAAUGCUUGGUGUAGAGGUGAAAUUCGUAGAUAUCAAGCGGAACACCGGUGGCGAAGGCGGCCUUCUGGACAGUGACGUGACGCUGAGACGCGAAAGCGUGGGGAGCAAACAGGG